UAAGGAAUAUUGCUCAAUGGGAGAAAUCCUGAAGCAGCAACGCCGCGUGGAGGAUGAAGGGUUUUUAACUUGUAAACUCCUGUAAAGAAGGAAAAAAUUCCCAUUAGAUGGGAAAUGAUGGUACUUCUGGAGUAAGCCCCGGCUAACUACGUGCCAGCAGCCGUGGUAAUACGUAGGGGGCAAGCGUUGUCCGGAUUUACUGGGUGUAAAGGGUGCUCAGGCGGAUUUGUAAGUCAGAGGUGAAAUCUCACAGCUUAACUGUGAAACUGCCUUUGAUACUGCAAGCCUAGAGUAUGGAAGAGAGUGAUGGAAUAUCUGGUGUAGCAGUGAAAUGCGUAGAUAUCAGAUAGAACACCAAUGGCGAAGGCAGUCACUUGGUCCAUAACUGGCGCUAAAGCACGAAAGCGUGGGUAGCAAACAGGAUUAGAUACCCUGGUAGUCCACGCCCUAAACGAUGAAUACUAGAUGUUGGCUUCGCAUGAAGUCAGUAUCUGAGCUAACGCAUUAAGUAUUCCACCUGGGAAGUACGAUCGCAAGGUUGAAACUCAAAUGAAUUGACGGGGUCAUAGCUGUUUCCUG
rnacentral:rRNA from 1 species